CCAGAAUUUUGGGGAAAGAAGAGCUUAGAAGUUGGUGGGAGAAAGAAGAAUCAUGUUCAUCUUUUCCAUUUUCGUAUUCCAUGGCAGCCUCCACUAAAUCAGCUUAUGUCUUGAAGGAGAAAAUUGAGCUUGAAGUUGGGAUAUGCAUGCUGAUUGUGUGUUAAAGAGUGGAUACGGGUUUGAUGAAUUUGGAGUUGGAGUUUUGGUCAAGUGAGGAGCUCAAUUGCAGCAUGUUCAUCAUCCAAAGCUCCAUUGAUGCAAGGUGCAGUUUAGUAGCGUUUGGUCAGAAGCAGGUUCAUACUAAAGACUUGGAAGUGGUGUUGGCUCGAAGACCUCGUUGGUUUUGACAUUCCGCUGUGCAAGAUCCAUUGAAGACUCAUGUAUUAUGCUUCUUAGUAGAAUUUCAUGUUGUAUUUUAUAUGGAUCUUUCUAUAACUAUAGCUUUUGUAUGUACUCAAUAUCAAUUUUAACGUUUCAUGCAUAAUAUACUAGUCAGUUAUGUAUGGGGUGUUACAGUUGGUAUCAGAGCAGGUCGAUUCUUGGCCGAGCCAUGAGACAUCACUAGCAAUUCCUUUUUUCCUCCUCUCAAGUGUGCGUUUCUAGCCUGAUUUUACUGAAAUCUCAUUCAGUUGUUGAACUUGAUCAACUCAUCGACUGAGUGUGAGACAGUAGAAUUACGGCAGAGCCGCCACGAGGACUCGUAAAACCUGUAAGUGUCGUGAACCCAAGUAGCAAGGAUUAGUUGGGUGGUGAAUUAUAUAUGGAAUCUGGAUUUAUUGGACGACGUGAGUAGAAGGGAUAUUGGAGUCGUCAAGCUUAAGGAGAGCGUUUGACGCGAAGUAGUGUUACCCGAACUGUCAAGGUGUGGAUUGAGGCAGCUAAAACCCCCAGGAUUUUGAUUGGACGAAGUGAAGCUUUCUCUAAGUCUUGGUAAUAGCAAGGGAAAUCCAAAUGGGAUUGAGUAGGAGCCUUGUAAGUGAGAUUCUCCGAAGGUGUUGAGCUGUGAAUUAGUAGGAUUCAGUACUGAUAAUGCUGCCGGUGUUAAGUGUGACGGGUGAGCUGAUAGGACAGAGUGGCCUCUGGAAAUGCGGACAGAAGAGUUAGACCUUUCUGAUUACACUGGUACGGAGAGUGAUUGGAUGGGCAGAGUAUUAGAUCCUGAUACAACUUGAAGUACCCUAAGAGAGAGUAGUUACCUAGUAGAUGUUGGUGGAAUGUAUGAGUGUGGUAACUUAAGAUUGGACGAAGCUUGAAUACCUUGUCGAUGGAAGAGGGCAUGCAUUUCCGUUCUUAUCAUUUUAUAUUUAAGUUCUAGAACUACGCUAGAUGGAAUAUGAAAUGAUGUAGAAGCGUGAAAUACAAUAACCUAAGUUCUUGUUAGUGGUUGUUCGUCUGACCCUGAGUGAAGCCAUGGAAUUACGCUUGGCGUUGGGCGUUCAGGCGAGUAAGAACUAAGAUCUAUCUGGAACGUCAGUAGGAUGAUCGUUGUUGAGUUGGUUGUUAGGAACCAUAGUAUUCCUAUCUGGACUGAAUUAUCCUUGGAAUCUCAUGCAUGCGUGGGACGAGUGGGUACGCGCACUGCAUGGUAACCCGAAGUUGAACUUCAAAUCUUCGUGCUUGGCGUUUUGUCUUUCCGAGUAAGUAACCUUGAUGUGUAGCACUCUCAGGUUUUAGCAUCCUGAGGAGUGUGAUUCGAAGGACUUGAGGAACGAUGAACCUGUUGGAGGCCUGUUCAGACACUUGUCGAUUACAACUAUAGGAUACGUGUGGGGAUCAUUAUACGCCACUGAGGUAGGUUACCUGAAUACAUGGCCUCGGAGUUAGACCACCAUGUUGGUACUACCAGACGGGUAUAAUGCCACAGUAUCGCUAUCGUGCACAAAGAUGCGUGAGUCAUCUUUUUCCGACAUGUGUGGGACAAAGGUGAUCUGAAGCUCAAGGUAGAAUUCUGAUUUGGAACUUGUGAGAUGCAGAUCCAGACUCUCAUAAGGUAUGUGGGAUAAGGAUCCAUACGUCACGCUCGAUAGUAGAGGAAUGACUAGACAGCCGAUGGUGAAAUGGAUCAAGAUCCAAUACUAUACUUAUGGAGACCCUGAUUGAUCGUGAUUGCGUGAGUUAGUAUCAUAUUGUACCUUGGGGACGUUCUCGUUUCAUGAAGUGUUAAGUUGGCAAUUUUGCAUGAGUGUCUAGGGUGGGACUCAUGUGCGGUCAUGAUAUCCUGGUCAGCAUAGUGAGUGGCUAUCAUGUAUCAUUGGCAACCGGUGAUGGAAUAUGUGAAUUGUAUCUUGGACUAGUUUGAUGUGUGACGUAUCUGGUAGAGUGUCUGUAGAUACUCUGAGUGGAUAAGUGUUAAUCUUGGUAAAGCAUGGACAUUUUGGUUUGAGAACUGCUAAGGAGUUUAUAGGAGAGAUGUUCGAAGUGCAAAGUGCAAAGUGCAAUUUCUUGCAUUGUGGCUACACUCAGACCGUUGGAAGCACUGCAAUGAAGGAUGCAGCCGCUGAGGAAGUCAGUUCAGUGUCUGAUUCAGAGGUGGAACAUACAUUAGAUGGCUGUGUGAAUGGAGUGUGGCUAUGGGAGGAUCGUUAUAUCAAUAAGUCGCACGGGUAUCAGAGGUGAUACCACGCUAAGAGGAUGAAGGUGUAUGGUUGGGUAGUAGUUGUGUAAAACUGCUAGAGUUAUCUUGAGCUGCAGUACGUCGUGAAGGGUUUGAUAUACCGGCUGAGCAACAAAGAUUUUUUGGAAUGAAAAACAUAGCAGAUGUACACUGUGGAAAUCAGUGACAAGGACGAACCUCUAAGUCAGUGAGUGUUUGGGUUUCAAUGUCCUGAGGAUGAAACGUGUACCUAAGUUAUGGUAGAUGAACUAUAUGGAAUGGCAGAGUAAGCAGUAGCUUGAUUCUGGAAAGUACGCAACUUCGAAGAGUAGUAGUCGACGAGGGAUGUAUAUGGAGUUCUGGCGCGUGUUGUAAUUGGACAACUGUAAAUAAGGAAUUAUUGUGUAUUAAUGGAAACUAAGUGAAUUAUGGGUAUAAUGUGACUCAGAGGAUUUCAAGGUGUGUGACUUGUUGGAAUCAGAGUAGCACAACGGAUCAAGGAAGAAUCAGAUAAGUCGGAGGUAGGAACGAACGAACUAAUUGUAGGAUUUUAUGUUGGAAUGAAAGUAUUUUCCUAAGGGAAAUUGUCGAAGCAGUGUUUCGUUCGUUCUAGUCUCUCAAGGAUCACCAUAACUCGGGAGGUGUUAUCAAUGGGCCAGCUUGGGAAUACAUUUUGUGGAUGGCAUGCGGUCUGAUGUUCGUAGGUUAUCAGUUUAGCUUGUAAGUCAUAAGGGAUGGACUCGAGUGGAGAAUAAUUUGAAGUGUUUUAUCGUAGAAGUGACGUUGUGGCAGUAAUUCUCAAAUGGAAAGUAAUUCAAGGAGCUGCGUGAAUCAGUAAUGUUUGUUGAAUGAGGGUGAACACGUCAGAGAUUGAAUGACGGAUAACCAAUGUGAGAAUUGCUAGGGUUCUAAAGUAAUGGAUGAUCAGUGUAGAUCAAUAAAGGUUAGGACCCUGGGAGGAUCUUUUCCCAAGUGUUUCAAGACGAGGUAUUUGAAUAGACGCGUUGCCUGGGGAUUAAGGUUUCUAAUCAUGUAUGGUGGAAUGCAAUUAUUUUGGCAGAUUAUGUUUCUUCGUACCCAAUGAUCCUCAGACAGAGUAGUGAGAUUAUCUAAGGACGAAUGUGAGUAACAUUCUUUCCCCUGAUUGGAGAGAUACGAAGGGUUGGUUUUCGUGGUGAACGGAAGGAAUUCGAGGACGAAUUCUAUUUAAGGGGGGGAGAAUGUAAUAUCCCGAUCCUUCGACACCGAUAAUUAUCAUUUAAAUGAGUAAAUGGUAAUUAGAGAGAAAGCAUUGGUCUUAUUCUCUAUUAAUCUAAAGAAUGAUUAAUAACAAGAAUUAGUGGAGUAGUUAGAAUCACAUGUGUUUAGUUGGGAUGCAACCAUAUGGCAUGAUGGUAAUUAACACUAAGUUGGAGGGCAUCAUGGGCACUAAAGAAUAAAUGCAUGGAAUAUUAGGUCUUGUUUUGGUGAAGACUCAUACUUGCCACUACCAAACCAGAAUUUUGGGGAAAGAAGAGCGUAGAAGUUGGUGGGAGAAAGAAGAAUCAUGUUCAUCUUUUCCAUUUUCGUAUUCCAUGGCAGCCUCCACUAAAUCAGCUUAUGUCUUGAAGGAGAAAAUUGAGCUUGAAGUUGGGACAUGCAUGCUGAUUGUGUGUUAAAGAGUGGAUACGGGUUUGAUGAAUUUGGAGUUGCAGUUUUGGUCAAGUGAGGAGCUCAAUUGCAGCAUGUUCAUCAUCCAAAGCUCCAUUGAUGCAAGGUGCAGUUUAGUAGCGUUUGGUCAGAAGCAGGUUCGGACUAAAGACUUGGAAGUGGUGUUGGCUCGAAGACCUCGUUGGUUUUGACAUUCCGCUGUGCAAGAUCCAUUGAAGACUCAUGUAUUAUGCUUCUUAGUAGAAUUUCAUGUUGUAUUUUAUAUGGAUCUUUCUAUAACUAUAGCUUUUGUAUGUACUCAAUAUCAAUUUUAACGUUUCAUGCAUAAUAUACUAGUCAGUUAUGUAUGGGGUGUUACAAAAAUAAUGGAGCCAAAAAAUAAAUCUUUAGAUUGUAACCAUAAUUGGAACUACA